AUUUUUGGGUAGAAUUUAGUUUAGUUGUUGCAAUCAAUUUCAUUUGGUUUGCUUUUUUGCUGAAUCACAACGUCCGCUCCAGUUGCAGCUGUUUCGUCCCGUCCGGCACCGAGUCAACCGAUGGUCCAGCCUGCGACGCGCUCGGCUGUUGCUACGUCAAUGGCAGCCACCAGCCAGGGACUUGGAUUAAAGUCAAAAAUAUCAGGUACGCCAGGUGGUGUUGCUGCAAUCGGUUUGCCGUCGGACAUUCCCCUAACCAGAAUAUUCAGCGGUUCCGAUUCGAAGGAGGCAGCCAAAGAAGCACAGACUGCUUUGGUUCAGCAAUACGCUCCGGCAGGACGAUGCUCGUGGAAGAUCACGCAGUUCCGGUCCUGUGCACAAGAACAGGCCGAUUUGACCCUGUGCGAAGGUUUCAACGAGUCGCUCAGGCAUUAGUAGCAGAGUCCUUGCACCUACAGCUUGUCCAGUGAGCAAUUCUGACGAAACCACACCGUUCGCACCAAGUUGGAUCACAAUAAUAAGUGCGACGUCGAGAAGAAGACUUCCCGAGACCUACAAGCAAUGCUACAAGAUUAAAUAGCAGGGUGUUUUUAACGUGACCAUAGUAUAACGUAGCGGAUUUAGACAGAUUUAUCCCGCAGAAUAAGAUAGCAAAAUUACCCAAAAAGUAAGAGCUGACAGCCGAAGUGAAGAAACACACAUCCUCUACAGAGGCAAGCAAUAACGGAACGCGUAAUUCCUCACAAUGAAUUGCUCUCGUCGUUAGAUUAAAUCCCAGGAAGUACAAUUUUCAUUGCAUUAUUUAGUCAACCGAAAUUGAAGUCCUCAGUCGAGAGAGAGAGAGAGAGAGAGAGAGAGAGAGAGAGAGAGAGAGAGAGAGAUUGAUAGCAGCGGUCGUGACCAGAACCACCACCGACGCGGAAAUCAAAAAGGCGCACAAAAAACGCGCUACGAUGGCACCCAGAUAAAAAAUCCAGAAGAAUUUACGGUUUAAGGAGAUCUCCAAAGCAUAUAAAGUGCUGUCAGAUGAGAAAAAUCGACGCAUCUAUGACCAGUACGACAAGGAGGGUCUGAUGACCAACAGUUUCCGAGCGGCACUACCAUAACACACGGCACCGGCGACACAUUUAUAUCCACAACAUACUAAUGACUUAUCCUUCCGAAAAAGUGAAUAAAAUCUACUCUAUUUAAGCAACAAA